GAUGAAGAACGCAGUGAAAUGCGAUAAGUAAUGUGAAUUGCAGAAUUCAGUGAAUCAUCGAAUCUUUGAACGCACAUUGCGCCCGCCAGUAUUCUGGCGGGCAUGCCUGUUCGAGCGUCAUUACAACCCUCAGGCCCCCGGGCCUGGCGUUGGGGAUCGGCGGAAGCCCCCUGCGGGCACAACGCCGUCCCCCAAAUACAGUGGCGGUCCCGCCGCAGCUUCCAUUGCGUAGUAGCUAACACCUCGCAACUGGAGAGCGGCGCGGCCACGCCGUAAAACACCCAACUUCUGAAUGUUGACCUCGAAUCAGGUAGGAAUACCCGCUGAACUUAAGAAUAUCAAUAAGCGGAGGA
rnacentral:misc_RNA from 1 species